GACGAUGUGGCCGAGCGGUCUAAGGCGCACGGUUCAGGUCCGUGUCCGAAAGGGCGUGGUUCGAACCCCACCGUCGUCA
rnacentral:tRNA from 1 species